GACGAACGCUGGCGGCGUGCUUAACACAUGCAAGUCGAACGAAGAGCGAUGGAAGCUUGCUUCUAUCAAUCUUAGUGGCGAACGGGUGAGUAACGCGUAAUCAACCUGCCCUUCAGAGGGGGACAACAGUUGGAAACGACUGCUAAUACCGCAUACGAUCUAAUCUCGGCAUCGAGGAAAGAUGAAAGGUGGCCUCUAUGUAUAAACUAUCACUGAAGGAGGGGAUUGCGUCUGAUUAGCUAGUUGGAGGGGUAACGGCCCACCAAGGCGAUGAUCAGUAGCCGGUCUGAGAGGAUGAACGGCCACAUUGGGACUGAGACACGGCCCAGACUCCUACGGGAGGCAGCAGUGGGGAAUCUUCCGCAAUGGACGAAAGUCUGACGGAGCAACGCCGCGUGAGUGAUGACGGCCUUCGGGUUGUAAAGCUCUGUUAAUCGGGACGAAAGGCCUUCUUGCGAAUAGUGAGAAGGAUUGACGGUACCGGAAUAGAAAGCCACGGCUAACUACGUGCCAGCAGCCGCGGUAAUACGUAGGUGGCAAGCGUUGUCCGGAAUUAUUGGGCGUAAAGCGCGCGCAGGCGGAUAGGUCAGUCUGUCUUAAAAGUUCGGGGCUUAACCCCGUGAUGGGAUGGAAACUGCCAAUCUAGAGUAUCGG
rnacentral:rRNA from 1 species